rnacentral:rRNA from 1 species
UACGUAGGGACCAAGCGUUGUUCGGAUUUACUGGGCGUAAAGGGCGCGUAGGCGGCUUAACAAGUCACUUGUGAAAUCUCCGGGCUUAACUCGGAAAGGUCAAGUGAUACUGUCGGACUAGAGUACAGAAGGGGCAACUGGAAUUCUCGGUGUAGCGGUGAAAUGCGUAGAUAUCGAGAGGAACACCGAUGGCGAAGGCAGGUCUCUGGGCCACUACUGACGCUGAGAAGCGAAAGCAUGGGGAGCGAACAGG